rnacentral:lncRNA from 1 species
GAGGUGUUUGAGAGAUAUUAUUUUGUGUUCUAGCAUGGAAAAAAGGGGAUCCAAUAAGGCUGUUGGUGUCAGUAGGGUUAUGUAUUUUUUUGUUCUUUCCAUUUUUUUCUUCUAAUCAUCACAGAUCAUAGGUGAGUGCGUGUCUGCGUGACCAUGGCUGAUAUAAGCUGGUGCCUUGUUCCUGAGGCUUAAGAAGAGGUGUCU